AAUGAACGUUGGCGGCAUGGAUUAGGCAUGCAAGUCGAGCGAGAAGUGUAGCAAUACACGGAAAGCGGCGGAAGGGAGAGUAAUACGUGGGAAUCUGCCCUCAGGACGGGGAUAGCCACGGGAAACUGUGGGUAAUACCCGAUGAUCUGGCCGGGAUCAAUUUCCUGGUCAGCAAAGGUGAGAUUCCACCUGAGGAGCGGCUUACGCGAUAUUAGCUUGUUGGGGAGGUAACGGCUCACCAAGGCGACGAUAUCUAGGGGGUGGGAGGGCAUGGCCCCCACCACUGGGACUGAGAUACUGCCCAGACACCUACGGGUGGCUGCAGUCGAGAAUCUUCGGCAAUGGGCGAAAGCCUGACCGAGCGACGCCGCGUGCGGGAUGAAGGUCUUCGGAUUGUAAACCGCUGUCGGGAGGGAUGAAGUGCACGGGGGCAAUCCCCUGUGUUUGACAGAGCUCCGGAGGAAGCACGGGCUAAGUUCGUGCCAGCAGCCGCCGUAAAAC
rnacentral:rRNA from 1 species